CUAUCAUUAACUGAAUCCAUAGGUUAAUGAGGCGAACCGGGGGAACUGAAACAUCUAAGUACCCCGAGGAAAAGAAAUCAACCGAGAUUCCCCCAGUAGCGGCGAGCGAACGGGGAGCAGCCCAGAGCCUGAAUCAGUGUGUGUGUUAGUGGAAGCGUCUGGAAAGGCGCGCGAUACAGGGUGACAGCCCCGUACACAAAAAUGCACAUGCUGUGAGCUCGAUGAGUAGGGCGGGACACGUGGUAUCCUGUCUGAAUAUGGGGGGACCAUCCUCCAAGGCUAAAUACUCCUGACUGACCGAUAGUGAACCAGUACCGUGAGGGAAAGGCGAAAAGAACCCCGGCGAGGGGAGUGAAAAAGAACCUGAAACCGUGUACGUACAAGCAGUGGGAGCACGCUUAGGCGUGUGACUGCGUACCUUUUGUAUAAUGGGUCAGCGACUUAUAUUCUGUAGCAAGGUUAACCGAAUAGGGGAGCCGAAGGGAAACCGAGUCUUAACUGGGCGUUAAGUUGCAGGGUAUAGACCCGAAACCCGGUGAUCUAGCCAUGGGCAGGUUGAAGGUUGGGUAACACUAACUGGAGGACCGAACCGACUAAUGUUGAAAAAUUAGCGGAUGACUUGUGGCUGGGGGUGAAAGGCCAAUCAAACCGGGAGAUAGCUGGUUCUCCCCGAAAGCUAUUUAGGUAGCGCCUCGUGAACUCAUCUCCGGGGGUAGAGCACUGUUUCGGCAAGGGGGUCAUCCCGACUUACCAACCCGAUGCAAACUGCGAAUACCGGAGAAUGUUAUCACGGGAGACACACGGCGGGUGCUAACGUCCGUCGUGAAGAGGGAAACAACCCAGACCGCCAGCUAAGGUCCCAAAGUCAUGGUUAAGUGGGAAACGAUGUGGGAAGGCCCAGACAGCCAGGAUGUUGGCUUAGAAGCAGCCAUCAUUUAAAGAAAGCGUAAUAGCUCACUGGUCGAGUCGGCCUGCGCGGAAGAUGUAACGGGGCUAAACCAUGCACCGAAGCUGCGGCAGCGACGCUUAUGCGUUGUUGGGUAGGGGAGCGUUCUGUAAGCCUGUGAAGGUGUGCUGUGAGGCAUGCUGGAGGUAUCAGAAGUGCGAAUGCUGACAUAAGUAACGAUAAAGCGGGUGAAAAGCCCGCUCGCCGGAAGACCAAGGGUUCCUGUCCAACGUUAAUCGGGGCAGGGUGAGUCGACCCCUAAGGCGAGGCCGAAAGGCGUAGUCGAUGGGAAACAGGUUAAUAUUCCUGUACUUGGUGUUACUGCGAAGGGGGGACGGAGAAGGCUAUGUUGGCCGGGCGACGGUUGUCCCGGUUUAAGCGUGUAGGCUGGUUUUCCAGGCAAAUCCGGAAAAUCAAGGCUGAGGCGUGAUGACGAGGCACUACGGUGCUGAAGCAACAAAUGCCCUGCUUCCAGGAAAAGCCUCUAAGCAUCAGGUAACAUCAAAUCGUACCCCAAACCGACACAGGUGGUCAGGUAGAGAAUACCAAGGCGCUUGAGAGAACUCGGGUGAAGGAACUAGGCAAAAUGGUGCCGUAACUUCGGGAGAAGGCACGCUGAUAUGUAGGUGAAGUCCCUCGCGGAUGGAGCUGAAAUCAGUCGAAGAUACCAGCUGGCUGCAACUGUUUAUUAAAAACACAGCACUGUGCAAACACGAAAGUGGACGUAUACGGUGUGACGCCUGCCCGGUGCCGGAAGGUUAAUUGAUGGGGUCAGCGCAAGCGAAGCUCUUGAUCGAAGCCCCGGUAAACGGCGGCCGUAACUAUAACGGUCCUAAGGUAGCGAAAUUCCUUGUCGGGUAAGUUCCGACCUGCACGAAUGGCGUAAUGAUGGCCAGGCUGUCUCCACCCGAGACUCAGUGAAAUUGAACUCGCUGUGAAGAUGCAGUGUACCCGCGGCAAGACGGAAAGACCCCGUGAACCUUUACUAUAGCUUGACACUGAACAUUGAGCCUUGAUGUGUAGGAUAGGUGGGAGGCUUAGAAGUGUGGACGCCAGUCUGCAUGGAGCCGACCUUGAAAUACCACCCUUUAAUGUUUGAUGUUCUAACGUUGACCCGUAAUCCGGGUUGCGGACAGUGUCUGGUGGGUAGUUUGACUGGGGCGGUCUCCUCCUAAAGAGUAACGGAGGAGCACGAAGGUUGGCUAAUCCUGGUCGGACAUCAGGAGGUUAGUGCAAUGGCAUAAGCCAGCUUGACUGCGAGCGUGACGGCGCGAGCAGGUGCGAAAGCAGGUCAUAGUGAUCCGGUGGUUCUGAAUGGAAGGGCCAUCGCUCAACGGAUAAAAGGUACUCCGGGGAUAACAGGCUGAUACCGCCCAAGAGUUCAUAUCGACGGCGGUGUUUGGCACCUCGAUGUCGGCUCAUCACAUCCUGGGGCUGAAGUAGGUCCCAAGGGUAUGGCUGUUCGCCAUUUAAAGUGGUACGCGAGCUGGGUUUAGAACGUCGUGAGACAGUUCGGUCCCUAUCUGCCGUGGGCGCUGGAGAACUGAGGGGGGCUGCUCCUAGUACGAGAGGACCGGAGUGGACGCAUCACUGGUGUUCGGGUUGUCAUGCCAAUGGCACUGCCCGGUAGCUAAAUGCGGAAGAGAUAAGUGCUGAAAGCAUCUAAGCACGAAACUUGCCCCGAGAUGAGUUCUCCCUGACUCCUUGAGAGUCCUGAAGGAACGUUGAAGACGACGACGUUGAUAGGCCGGGUGUGUAAGCGCAGCGAUGCGUUGAGCUAACCGGUACUAAUGAACCGUGAGGCUUAACCUUACAACGCCGAAGCUGUU
rnacentral:rRNA from 1 species